rnacentral:rRNA from 1 species
UACGGAGGGGGCUAGCGUUGUUCGGAAUUACUGGGCGUAAAGCGCGCGUAGGCGGAUCUGUAAGUUGGGGGUGAAAUCCCGAGGCUCAACCUCGGAACUGCCUUCGAUACUGCAGAUCUCGAGUCCGAGAGAGGUGAGUGGAAUUCCUAGUGUAGAGGUGAAAUUCGUAGAUAUUAGGAAGAACACCAGUGGCGAAGGCGGCUCACUGGUCCGGUACUGACGCUGAGGUGCGAAAGCGUGGGGAGCAAACAGG